rnacentral:rRNA from 1 species
UACAGAGGGGGCAAGCGUUGUUCGGAAUUACUGGGCGUAAAGGGCGCGUAGGCGGCCCGCUAAGUCGAACGUGAAAUCCCCGGGCUCAACCCGGGAACUGCGUCCGAUACUGGCAGGCUUGAAUCCGGGAGAGGGAUGCGGAAUUCCAGGUGUAGCGGUGAAAUGCGUAGAUAUCUGGAGGAAUACCGGUGGCGAAGGCGGCAUCCUGGACCGGCAUUGACGCUGAUGAGCGAAAGCUAGGGGAGCAAACGGG